GUGCUUACUUCGGAAGCACACAUACUAAAAUUGGAACGAUGCAGAGAUAGCGUGGCUCCUGUGCAAGGAUGACACGCAAAUUCAUGAAGCGUUCCAUAUUUUU